AUGUCUAGUUCACUUGCUACAGUGGAGGAGGUGUCAUGCGAGGAGGAGCCUCUGUGGAUGCCGGCGCCGCGGCUGAUCUUCUACAACACGGCCAGGGACGACGGCGGCGUGGACGAGUUCGACGAGGGGACGUGGAAGUACUUCUCGUUCAAGGAGCAGAGCCUGGCGGCGCUGCACCGCAGGCUGGCGGAGGAGACCCGGCGCCAGGACUUCGUCGUCUGCCGAAGCCCGCGGGAGCGGCCCGGGGCUGUUCCCCGUCGUCCUGGACCUCCCUCCCGGCAACAGCCAGAUGGAGUUCGUCCUCGUCCCGGCGUCCUCUCCUGCAGUUCUAGAGAAUGA
rnacentral:rRNA from 1 species